AAGAGCAGUCCGCUUGAAGAAGACGUCGUCUUAUCGAAAAAAGUAUGGACUACUGUCCAAUCAAGACACCAACAUGGAGAUGGGGAAUCUUGAGAGCGACGAGGAGGACAUGACAGUUUACGAAGCGAAGGCGCUGAGAAGAUGAGUCCAGGAUAUCUGGCCAAGAGAGCAGAGAAGAUUGGAAAAGAAUAAAAGCAUUCCCCAAGUGUUUUUUCCCCCCACCACUAUAAUAUUAUUUUCCUCCAUAUCGGUGAAGAGCAGUGGACUGGAUUUUCAAAUUUGUUCAAAUUAUUUUUCUGUUAUCAUUUUUAACAUAAAUGUAUGCAUAGACAAAGGGUAGGUGUGCAAUGGUUUGCGGUGAGUAAAUAGACAAUCUUUUUGGUUUUUAUUUAAUCAUCUAUGUUGGGGGGUAACAGAGUGCAGUACGUGGGUGGAAUAUGUCAGGCACAUUUUAAUGCCAAAACUGCCAGUUUCUCCAAAGUUCUGUGGACACUGUGCUUAUCAGAUCGCCGCAAACAGCACGUUUUUCUGUUUGUUUGUUUUUUUUUUCCAUUAUCGCAAGCCAUGGACAUGAGGGGAUUUGUUUUUAUUUUAUUUCUGUCGCUAAAUGUAAUUGUCUUUAUUCGUGUUACUUGGAUUGACCACCUAUUGUGACCUUUUUAGUCACAGGUAAAAAGUGAUUCCAUUCAAGACUUCUUUUUUACCUUUACACUUUACUCUACUGAAAAUCAGUCCUCGGUGGUCAAACUUCACUAUGAACGUCUCGCGUUCAGACUGGGCAGAUUAGACCAGAGCGAUCGAUUACCUUUGGGGAAUUUCUCACCGAGAUCCUUCCAAUAUGCCAAUACAGUGCGAGGCAGCCAUUCUCGCCUGACUGGUUCAUCCAGUGGGAUUGUCGUCCGCUGCUUAAUAGCCCUAGCCACAUCAUCUGGUUAUUACCACAGAAGGAGGGAGUUGCUCACAGUAGCCUUCGUUCAAAAAUCCAUAGACAAUCUCCGAGGUGAUAAAGAGCCCGAUCCUAGAGCUCCAUUAUCUCUGAAUCGAUUAAUUAUUAACCAUUAUCUCCGAAGCUGGAUUUUUUUAGAGGUCAUAUUGCUCAUCAUUGAGAUAAGUGUUGGCAGAGGAGAUGUUUGAUUGGCUAUCCCUCCUCCCUGUUCUGACUUGCGGGCCUUGCAACGUGAUGUUUUCCAGUUAAAGCGGACAACGUUGUACCGAGAUGUGCAUUUAUGUAACGUUUGAAUGUGGCUGUGCAAUAAUGUCAUCAGCUUUUAUUCUUUGCUUUCGAUCUUCUGGCUUUGUGCCAGUACUGUGAGAUUACUGCGUUCACGAUUCCGUUUUCAGAGAACUAGACUAAUGGCUGUUUGCCAAAUGUUGAGUCUUUAAAUUUAAGCACGUGUCUCCUCGAGUUUUGUAGUAGAGCUGGUGUUCAUCCAUUGUUUUGUCAAAUGUUUAAUUCGGCAAUGGAAAGUGUUGGUUACAUUACAAUGGCAGUGGUUCUGCAGAACACAUCAGAGACGGCGUUUACGAUUUAUUCAUUUAUUUGGUUUGGUUUCUAUUUGCGCGUGUCGAACGUGUACGCAGACACGCGCAGGCCUGCUCAACAUCGAACCCAUUUUCAGAAUUUAAACCGAUCGUGCUCACUGUAUUCAGCAAGCCAAAGAGUUCGUAUCAAAGAUUGCAUGUUGAGAAUGUAUAAGAGUAAAAAAAAUGCCUUGUUCGCUGCUUGGUUAUUGUAAGGGUUCAUAUCAUAAUCUCUGUAUGCUGUAAAAGUAUAUGCACUGUUUUUUUUCUUUGACCACAUCAAAUUCCACAGACAGGUAUGCAGAACGAGGGAGGUAAAUAAGGCCAUUUGACGCAAGGCUUUACACUGUUGAACAUUUGCUUAAUUGUAAUGAAUUAUGUGCCGUUUCUCAGGGGGUCACCUGUAAUUGCGCGUAAGUGCGAUUUUUCCUGCGCGGGAGUUAAUGAAAUGAGACGGGCGGCCAAGCGAGACGGGGCCCCUGCUGUAGGAACGGGCUGUUGGGUCGUCGAGCCAGAACCCGCUGAGGAAUCUCACCUCACCUCUGCGCCGACUGAUUUCAUGGUAGUGAACAUGGAACUGACAUUUGGGAUUUAUGUCUUGUAGCCCCGAUAUUCUAUUAUCUUUGUACAGGACAGCAGAAUUCUCAGCAGAUUCCAUAGUCUCUGAUUUGGCGCUCCGGGUGCGUCACCCCCUCUUGCGAAUUGUGAGGCUUCUCUGGCUUUUUGGCGGCUUAGCUUGUCCGCUUAAAUGAUACUGUGUAUUUUAUUAUUUUUAAUUUUUUUAAUUUUUUUGUUGUUUGUCAUUAAUAAUCUAUAUGUGGAGUCAUAGACUUCUCAGUUUGUUGGGCCUGAUAUAAAAUAAAAAAAAAAACAUCGGGAUGGGGGAUGGAAAGUUAUGGGUUGUAAAAUCUGUUUUGAAUACUUAUCUGUCACGUGACAGAACGGGUGGACCCGGGAAGGCGCGUGAGUGGGAUUCCAUAGCCUGGACCAAAUUUUGUGGGAAAUAUUCCAUAUUCCCUUCAACCGAAACGAUGCGCUCUGGAAUAUGCUGUUUUCUUAAUCAGAAUUCCUGCGUUCAGACGAGUCGCGGAAGCUCCUGCCUUCGCUCCGGAGAACGCCAAGCGUUGCGGGUGGCAGCCUGCAAUGAUGUUAUGCCAACUGUGUCUACUCAAGACUUAAAAAGUAUGAAUUUCUUGUGUGAAAAACUAUUUUUAAACUGAUGCUUUAAAUGGCUUGUAUCUCCUUCAAGCUGAUUUUUGUAAUCUCUUAAAGCUAAUUUGUCUGUAAGGAGUUGAGAAAUGUGCGCUUUUGGUUAAAUUUCACAGAUGUCUGAAUUGGGUGUUUGAUUGUGAUGGAAAAACAAACGAGUUGCAACUUGGAAACAGUCGCCGAUGAAGGGUUUUGCAGCUCACUGGAGUGUUUUGUUUGUUCAGAGUCGCAUCAAACACUGCUACACGAGUACUAUAUUAUUCUGUAAUCCUUUUCCUUGCUGUUUCUACUUCUCAGUUCUGUUGGUAUCUAAAUUAAUUCCCUGGAUAUUUUAAACAGGGUUUGCAUAAUUGGGGCCAAAUACAGCAGUAGAGCGGGUGAAGAGGUUAAAGAAUAUGCAACUCUGGGAAUUAAUGAAUUAAUUUCCAUUUUUGGUUUGAAAUGAGAGGUAACUUUCGGUCACAGAGGGGAAGUGCCUCCCUUCUGCUAAUGCAGCAGCCUUUGACUGCGGACAAUCAAGCGCGUGUGUUGUACACUGCACUCUUUUUCCAAUAAAAUAAUUACGAGUGAUUUUCAAUAGAA